GAUGAAGAACGCAGCGAAAUGCGAUAAGUAAUGUGAAUUGCAGAAUUCAGUGAAUCAUCGAAUCUUUGAACGCACAUUGCGCCCUGUGGUAUUCCGCAGGGCAUGCCUGUUCGAGCGUCAUUCAACCCCCUCAAGCUCUGCUUGGUGUUGGGCGUUUGUCCCGCCUUCUGGCUCGGACUCGCCUCAAAUAUUGGCAGCCACCUCCCUGGCUUCGAGCGCAGCACUUUUGCGCCCGGUACUUGGGGGUCGUGGCUCCCCAGAAGCACUCCUUUUGGUUGACCUCGGAUCAGGUAGGGAUACCCGCUGAACUUAAGCAUAUCAAUAAGCGGAGGA
rnacentral:misc_RNA from 1 species